GGCUGGACCCGGGGACCAGAGGGCAGCCCGCCCACCCCGCCCCCACCCUGCACCGGCACCAGGGACCAAGCAAAAGCCUAAGACCCGGCGCUGGGCUCGGGCCAGUUUGGAGCCAAGCUGGAGAAAGGAGACAAAACAAUAGUGACAAAUAGAUGUCAGACGUCCGAGCUCGAGCGAGGGUGGGCAGCAAACAAAGCGGAAUUACAAGGCUCAGUCCCUGAACGUGGAGGAGCCCUGGCGGGGAGCCCAUCCUCGGCGCGGCGGGCCCGGGCCUUGAGGGUCCGAUAAGAUUGGCGACUGCAGGGACACGAGGGCAGGGGAGGCCACGGCCCCGCUGUGAGGAACUAGUCGGGAGGCCUGUGGCUCGUCUGCGGGGGACGGUCACCUCCUGAGCAGCGCCCCCCGGAUCCCCUGAAAUUAAACGCUGCGGCCCCACAGGCAGAGACAGCCCUGCCCCUCCUCGGCCACCCUGCAGGCUGUGCCCAGCCGGCACUUCCUCCUCUUUCCCGGGAAACACUCCCGGCUUCCCGCUGCCGGGCGCCUCUCGGAGACGCUGUGGAGACGGCGAGCGGGACUCCUGCGCCCACGGGAUGCUCUCUGGAGUGCCGGGCAGGUGGUCCCUGGCGGGCGGGGGGCAUGGCCUGCCGGCCCACCCCGCUCCCCCUCCACACACACACCGUGCAGUGCCGGGGCUGGGGGAGUCCUUGCACACCUUCCAGCAUCAUGGCACAGAUGGAGAAACUGAGGCACAGAGAGGCUCCACGUUCCCAGGCCUCUUCUCUCCCUCCGCCCCCCACCACCCGGGCCAAACAUCCAGCCCCGUAAGUCCUCCAGGUGAAAACGGGCAUCCCGGCCACCGCCCUGCUGGGAAAUAAGCCUUCUGCGGAAGCACCCGCUGCACAUUUGCUAAAUUCAUGAAAAAGGAACUGCACGGGGUGAGUCGAUGCCCCGGCUCGGUGUGUCCGGAGUGGGGGCUCUCACAGCCGGCCUCCCCCUCUGUCAGACACCGGGGUGGCCGUGCCCUCCCCGGGGAGCAGGAUGCUCCUUUGUUCUGCGAGCUGGGUUUCCCAGCCUCAGAUCCUGACGGAGACCCAACCCCGGAGGGGCAGGGGGCAGGGAGCAGCCGACGGCUGGACCUUUACUUGGUGUCGUCUGACCGCGGGGACUUGGCUGAUGUACGAGAAGCCCCUGCGAGAGAUGAGCCAGGCGUGGACGGGGCCCCUCUGGACCCUGCCGGACCCCGCUGGACCCCACUGGACCCCACUGGACCCCACUGGACACUGCUGGGCCCCGCAGGACCCUGCAGGACCUCGCUGGACCCCGCCGGACCCCAAUGAACCCCGCAGGACCCCACUGGACCCCGCUGGACCUCGCUGGAUCCCACUGGACCCCGCUGGGCCUGCGUGAGCCCGGGCGGCCAGACUGUUACGAGCUAACCCAAGUUGAGACUAACCUUUCAGCAGAACAGUUUGAGUUAAAAUAAAGGGAUUGAAAAAGAGUACAAUGACCAAAAAAAUCUAUAAAAAUGCAAUUGCGCUAAUAUAAUUUUAUCACUUAUUUAAAAAUUUAGUCGACCCAAAAGACUACCAAGUGUGAAAUUAAGGAACAGCUCCUCUACUUUUAUGGAAAUCACUCUUCCUCACUUGUCUAAUAGCCUGAUUUUGUCAGAUCAUUUAUUUCCAUGGUUUUAAAAUGAGCUUGACAGACAGAAUUUUAUAACACCACUUUACUGCAAAUAAGAACAUCAUUUUCGCUUAUUAAAACUGAAGCUUAGAGAAAGCAUUAAAAUUAACAGUUCACUCUGCUUUAACCUUUUGAAUCCUGCCGCGACGUUACGGGGAAGGCCGCGCGCGAGGGAGGCCG
rnacentral:lncRNA from 1 species